rnacentral:rRNA from 1 species
AUUGAACGCUGGCGGCAGGCCUAACACGUGCAAGUCGAGCGGAUGAAGGGAGCUUGCUCCUGGAUUCAGCGGCGGACGGGUGAGUAAUGCCUAGGAAUCUGCCUGGUAGUGGGGGAUAACGUCCGGAAACGGGCGCUAAUACCGCAUACGUCCUGAGGGAGAAAGUGGGGGAUCUUCGGACCUCACGCUAUCAGAUGAGCCUAGGUCGGAUUAGCUAGUUGGUGGGGUAAAGGCCUACCAAGGCGACGAUCCGUAACUGGUCUGAGAGGAUGAUCAGUCACACUGGAACUGAGACACGGUCCAGACUCCUACGGGAGGCAGCAGUGGGGAAUAUUGGACAAUGGGCGAAAGCCUGAUCCAGCCAUGCCGCGUGUGUGAAGAAGGUCUUCGGAUUGUAAAGCACUUUAAGUUGGGAGGAAGGGCAGUAAGUUAAUACCUUGCUGUUUUGACGUUAUCAACAGAAUAAGCACCGGCUAACUUCGUG